rnacentral:rRNA from 1 species
GACGAACGCUGGCGGCGUGCUUAACACAUGCAAGUCGAACGGAAAGGCCCUGCUUUUGUGUGGUGCUCGAGUGGCGAACGGGUGAGUAACACGUGAGUAACCUGCCCUUGACUUUGGGAUAACUUCAGGAAACUGGGGCUAAUACCGGAUAGGAGCUCCUGCUGCAUGGUGGGGGUUGGAAAGUUUCGGCGGUUGGGGAUGGACUCGCGGCUUAUCAGCUUGUUGGUGGGGUAGUGGCUCACCAAGGCUUUGACGGGUAGCCGGCCUGAGAGGGUGACCGGCCACAUUGGGACUGAGAUACGGCCCAGACUCCUACGGGAGGCAGCAGUGGGGAAUAUUGCACAAUGGGCGGAAGCCUGAUGCAGCAACGCCGCGUGCGGGAUGACGGCCUUCGGGUUGUAAACCGCUUUCGCCUGUGACGAAGCGUGAGUGACGGUAAUGGGUAAAGAAGCACCGGCUAACUACGUG